UACGGGGGGAGCAAGCGUUGUUCGGAUUUACUGGGCGUAAAGGGCGCGUAGGCGGCGUGACAAGUCACUUGUGAAAUCUCCGGGCCUAACUCGGAACGGUCAAGUGAUACUGUCGUGCUAGAGUACAGAAGGGGCAACUGGAAUUCUCGGUGUAGCGGUGAAAUGCGUAGAUAUCGAGAGGAACACCUGCGGCGAAGGCGGGUUGCUGGGCUGAUACUGACGCUGAGGCGCGAAAGCCAGGGGAGCGAAUGGG
rnacentral:rRNA from 1 species